rnacentral:rRNA from 1 species
GACGAACGCUGGCGGCGUGCUUAACACAUGCAAGUCGAACGGAAAGGCCCUGCUUUUGCGUGGUGCUCGAGUGGCGAACGGGUGUGUAACAUGUGAGUCACCUUCCCUUUACUUUGUGAUAACUUCAGGAAACUGGGGAUAAUACCUGAUAGGAGCUCCUGCUGCAUGGUGGGGUUUGGAAAGUUUAGGUGGUUGUGGAUGUACUGGCGGCUUAUGAGCUUGUUGGUUGGGUAGUGGCUUACCAAGGCAUUGACGGGUAGCCGGCCUGAGAGGUGGACCGGGGACAAGAGGACUGAGAGAGGGCGCAGAGGGGAAUGGGAGGCAACAGGGGAGAAUAUGGUACAAUGGGGGGAAGCCUGAGGAAGAAACGCUGCGAGCGGGGUGAAGGCCUUCGGGGUGUAAACCGCUGUAGCCUGUGACGAAGCGGGAGUGACGGUAAUAGGUAAAGAAGCACCGGCUAACUACGUG